rnacentral:rRNA from 1 species
GUGUCAGCAGCCGCGGUAAUACGAAGGUGGCAAGCGUUACUCGGAAUUACUAGGCGUAAAGGGCAGGUAGGUGGUUUGGUUAGUCUGUUGUGAAAGGUCCCGGCUUAACUGGGAGAGGUCAACGGAUACUGCCGAACUUGAGUAUAGGGGAGGUUACUGGAAUUCCCGGUGUAGCGGUGAAAUGCGCAGAGAUCGGGAGGAACACCAAUGGCGAAAGCAGGUAACUGGACUAUUACUGACACUCAGCUGCGAAAGCUAGGGGAGCAAACAGGAUUAGAUACCCCGGUAGUCC